rnacentral:tRNA from 1 species
GUUUUAAUAAUUUAAAUAAAAAUAUUGAUUUUGUAAAUCAAAUAUAAGAAAAACUUUUAAAACU